GGGGAUUUAGCUCAGUGGUAGGGCACUUGCCUAGCAAGCACAAGGCCCUGGGUUCGGUCCCCAGCUCUG
rnacentral:tRNA from 1 species